AAGGACUGUAGUUUGUACCGUUUAUACUUAACGUUUGGUAUUUCGUCUUAUUUGAAAAAAAUAUGAUUAGUAUUUUAUUAUUAGAUGAUAAAACAUGAAUAAUACUUUAUGUGAUUAUUUUAUUUAUUUUUUUCAUAAAAUUUCCUAAUAAGAUGGACGGUCAACCAUUGGAUACGUAAACUCACAACUAUACUUAAA
rfam:Oryza sativa (indica cultivar-group) chromosome 2, whole genome shotgun sequence.